rnacentral:rRNA from 1 species
AUUGAACGCUGGCGGCAUGCCUUACACAUGCAAGUCGAACGGCAGCACGGGAGCAAUCCUGGUGGCGAGUGGCGAACGGGUGAGUAAUAUAUCGGAACGUGCCCAGUAGUGGGGGAUAACUGCUCGAAAGAGCAGCUAAUACCGCAUACGACCUGAGGGUGAAAGGGGGGGAUCGCAAGACCUCUCGCUAUUGGAGCGGCCGAUAUCAGAUUAGCUAGUUGGUGGGGUAAAGGCCUACCAAGGCAACGAUCUGUAGUUGGUCUGAGAGGACGGCCAGCCACACUGGGACUGAGACACGGCCCAGACUGCUACGGGAGGAAGCAGUGGGGAAUUUUGGACAAUGGGCGCAAGCCUGAUCCAGCAAUGCCGCGUGCAGGAAGAAGGCCUUCGGGUUGUAAACUGCUUUUGUCAGGGAAGAAAUCCUCUAGGUUAAUACUCUUGGGGGGAUGACGGUACCUGAAGAAUAAGCACCGGCUAACUACGUGCCAGCCGCCGCAGUAAGAC